UACGAAGGGGGCUAGCGUUGUUCGGAAUUACUGGGCGUAAAGGGCGCGUAGGCGGCCUUCUAAGUCGGACGUGAAAUCCCUCGGCUUAACCGAGGAACUGCGUCCGAUACUGAAAGGCUUGAAUCCGGGAGAGGGAUGUGGAAUUCCAGGUGUAGCGGUGAAAUGCGUAGAUAUCUGGAGGAACACCGGUGGCGAAGGCGGUCUGCUGGGCAGUUUCUGACACUGAGGCGCGACAGCGUGGGGAGCAAACAGG
rnacentral:rRNA from 1 species